UCCUGGCUCAGAUUGAACGCUGGCGGCAGGCCUAACACAUGCAAGUCGAACGGUAGCACAGAGAGCUUGCUCUCGGGUGACGAGUGGCGGACGGGUGAGUAAUGUCUGGGAAACUGCCCGAUGGAGGGGGAUAACUACUGGAAACGGUAGCUAAUACCGCAUAACGUCUUCGGACCAAAGUGGGGGACCUUCGGGCCUCACACCAUCGGAUGUGCCCAGAUGGGAUUAGCUAGUAGGUGGGGUAAUGGCUCACCUAGGCGACGAUCCCUAGCUGGUCUGAGAGGAUGACCAGCCACACUGGAACUGAGACACGGUCCAGACUCCUACGGGAGGCAGCAGUGGGGAAUAUUGCACAAUGGGCGCAAGCCUGAUGCAGCCAUGCCGCGUGUAUGAAGAAGGCCUUCGGG
rnacentral:rRNA from 1 species